AAGGAUUUAGCUUAAUAAAAGCGAAUGGUUUGCAUUCAUUAGAUGUAGGAUAGAGUCUUACAAUCCUUA
rnacentral:tRNA from 1 species